UUACGCCCAUAUCAUGUUGAUACACUGGUUCUCGUACGAUCACCAAUGUUAAGCAACGUCAUGCCUAGUCAGUACGUAGAUGGGUGACCCUUUGGGAAUAACAGCUGCUGUAA